UUACUUACCUGGCAGGGGCAAUACCAUGAUCAAGGAGGUGGUUUGCCCAAAGUGAGGCCCAGCCAUUGCACUCGGGCUAUGCAGACCUGUGAAUUCAUCAAAUGCCAGAAUAGCGACUGCAUAAUAUCUGAUAGGGAGGACUGCAUUCACGCUCUUCCCUU